rnacentral:rRNA from 1 species
GCAGUCGAGCGGAGUUUGAGAGGAAGCUUGCUUCCUUUCAGGACUUAGCGGCGGACGGGUGAGUAACACGUAGGCAACCUGCCCUCAAGCCUGGGAUAACUACCGGAAACGGUAGCUAAUACCGGAUAAUUUCUUUUUUCUCCUGAGAGAAGAAUGAAAGGCGGAGCAAUCUGCUGCUUGGGGAUGGGCCUGCGGCGCAUUAGCUAGUUGGUGGGGUAACGGCCCACCAAGGCGACGAUGCGUAGCCGACCUGAGAGGGUGAACGGCCACACUGGGACUGAGACACGGCCCAGACUCCUACGGGAGGCAGCAGUAGGGAAUCUUCCGCAAUGGGCGCAAGCCUGACGGAGCAAUGCCGCGUGAGUGAUGAAGGUUUUCGGAUCGUAAAGCUCUGUUGCCAGGGAAGAACGUCCGGUAGAGUAACUGCUGCCGGAGUGACGGUACCUGAGAAGAAAGCCCCGGCUAACUACGUGCCAGCAGCCGCGGUAAUACGUAGGGGGCAAGCGUUGUCCGGAAUUAUUGGGCGUAAAGCGCGCGCAGGCGGUUAUUUAAGUCUGGUGUUUAAACCUUGGGCUCAACCUGAGGUCGCACUGGAAACUGGGUGACUUGAGUACAGAAGAGGAAAGUGGAAUUCCACGUGUAGCGGUGAA